AUGGCGACCGGAAGGAGUAUGCCUGUCAUUUUGAAAAAGUUCAGUCAGAGUCUCAAUCCAGGAGAACUUAAGGAAGUCCAGGUCUCAGAGAAAUUUCGUGUGCUGGUAGCUCUGGGUGAUGACUCCACGUUGAGGCUGUGGAACGUUAAGAAUGAUGCAAACUUUACCCUCGUAGAUGUGAUACAAUUUAAGUGGAGUUCUUGUAGUGACUGCCAGAAUAAAGAAAAUUCAGAGGAGGACUGUUUUGUUGUAUUGAAGAUUGAUGGCAGUAUAGAGUUACAUACUAUUUCCAAUGCAUUUGAAGGUUUCUCAAGCACCUGCAAUGCUGUUGUAACCAAAGAGCUAUUGAAGAGGUUACUAAACGAUAGAGGCAAAGAAUGGCAUAGUGGUGAAGUAAAUCUUAUUUCACUAAACAGAAGUUCUGAGCCCUCCAAACAUGAAGUCAUUAUUUUGGUGGAUACAAUGUUGACUAUAAUCUCUAUGGGCCAAAACUCAAUAGCAGAUAUGUUGGUUUGCUUUGAGGUGACAAAUUCAGCCAUGAACAAGGAGAAUGAACACUCAGGUCCAAUAACAGCAGUCAGGAGGUUUCAUAAGUUUAUAUUUACUUUGGUGUCAAAUGGUGUUGUGUUCAUACACAAGAUGGCUGAUUUUGUAGGUUCAAUCAAUAUGUGGCAAUCAGGUGGCUUUUCAGCUCAAGAUUAUGUUGCAAUCCAAGAGAGACCAACUUUUGUAUACCUAGAAGUAACUGAUGAUCUCUCCUUUCUUGUUUGUGGUGAUGGUAACAGCAAUAUUUAUAUGGUAAACCUUGAUGAAUACUUUAAAGAGUUCCCUUCUCAGUGGAUUUGUCCCACCUACUCCAAGAGUAAAGGCCCUACUUUUUCAAGUGUGAAGUUUCAGUAUGAACUAGAAGAUGAAGAUUCUGUGGCCCGUAAUGCAGAAAUGUCUGAUAUUGCCUAUGGGGACAGGGUGUGGAAAACAGAAAUAUUGGCAUUCAGGAAGGGUGUAAAGCAAGCUUGUUGUGAAAAUGGAACAGAUGUAAACCAUUUUUGUAUACCAACAGUAAAGAAAAGGUGGUUUUCUGAUCUAGUUGGCCCUGAUGUUGGACAUCUGUUGGUUGCAUUCAAUAGUUGUGGUGAACAAACCAUAAAAAGUUGUAGCAAGAUGAGUGGAUUUAAUGGAACAAAGAGGGAAGCUGAACGGACUCCACCUGAAGUAUUACCAUCUCCUGAGAUUUUACACAAAACUAUUUUUGUUAGAUGUGAAGACUGGAUGAAAGUGUACAAGUUGAAGGGAAUAUGGGUGACACCAGCUUCAUUCUUACUUUGUUUCAAGCCGCAAAGACUAACUGAAAACCCAGGGCAUCCAAGUGAUGUUUCCCAUGGUGUUCUGUGUUUGUUUUCUUUGAAAACUCAGAAAUAUCUCUACCACUGGUUUUUGGAACCUUCAGUGAUAGUACAAAGUUGUGAACCAGGGUUCCCACAUCUGGUGCUCACUGGCACAUCUCUGGCAGUACCAGCUUUUGACAUUAGUCAAGAUCAGCUUGUCCAUAAAGUAAUAAUGUAUGAGAAUGCAGUUCUAGCAGACUCUCUAUGCUUUGUGAAUCAGUGGGAUCAUUGUACCAUUCCAAUUCAUGCUUUAGAAGUGGCCUUAAAACUAAGGCAACUUGACACAGUUGCCUUCUUUUUGAAGAACCAAGACAAAGCUUUCACAAACAGAUGUGCUGCUCUCUACUCCUCAUCAGACUCUAUAUUGUCUUCUUUAAGUUCAGCAUCAUCACUAGACGGUGAAGGUGUACUGGGUACCACUGAUGUGGUGGCAGUGACAGAGGCCCUUGUUAGUGCUGUAAACUACAAUAGUCAGCAACAACACCACCAGCAUUUCACAAGGCAACUUGCACAGAUGACCCUGAGUUACCUCCACAACUUAAUGGAAGAUGGAGCAAAGUUGUUAGACGGUGAAGACCUUAAAAGAUCUGCUAUUGGACACAAAACUGGUCAAGUUGCAUGGAGCUUAUUACACCAAGAGAUAAAAGAUUGCCUCGAUUUUCUGACUCUUAGUAUCGUGAAGCUUCGAGGUCAUCUCAGCAACAUUCCUCUCAAUGAUGAUGCUCAAAGUUCUGACAGUGUGGACUUUAAUCCAAUGCCAUUUGCAAGAUUGGAUGCAGAUGAGGUGGAUGGAUCCAUGACAAGGUGGAGCAGAAUGAAGGAUGAGGAUAUCGUUGAAGAUGCCAUUGCCAACCAAUAUAUUUGUUCAGCUCAAGCAUUUUUCCAGAGCAGGAGACUUGAAAAGAUGACCUUAGAACACAAAACUGUUCAGUGUGAUGGAUCCCUUUCAAGCUUCACACAAGUUGGUCUUCAAGUGGUUUUUAAGAGACUAAUUGAUCACGACAUGGAAACUGUGACUACCCUGUUAACAAACAUGGGUCGGGAUGUUUGGCAACAGCUUCACAAAGUUUGUCUGUACACGCUUCACAGACCUCUCAGAGAUUUUCUGUUGAAUGAGCUAGAAUCAAGAGAUUUCUUGCCAGCUGAGGAAAGGAAUGUGGUGGAGUUUUCAAAAACCUUGGAAACUUUAUACAAUCAACCAUCAUUCACAGAAGCUAAGAAAAAUGUGAAGAUUAAUUACUUGAAAGACAGCUGGAGAGACCUUGGAUUGUUAAAAAGUUCUUUCAAUCUGGGUUCAGCUCAAAUCCUUGACACCUACAUUCAGAGUGGGAAUUUAACACCUGUGGACCUCAACAAGCAGGAUCAUUCAAAAGGCAGUAGUUAUGUUGAGGUACCUCUUGCAUGGGUUUGUUCUUGGGAUGAGCCAUCACGACAGAGAAUUGUAGCAGAUAGGAUUUUCUCACAUAAAGCUGGAGAUUAUAGUUGUCCACAUCCAGAUAUUGGGUUCAGUUCUGAAGCACUUUGGGAGUACCUCUCCUCUCAUAUGGACUGGCAGACUUUGUUGGGAUGGAUUAGAUCAAUUGCCCAUGAUAACAAUCCACCUCAUGACGAUCUCACACAAUAUGUGGGUGCGAUGAGUGUCGUUCAUGACUGGAAUAUUAUAUUCCCUUCACUUCCGUGUUGCAUCUUCAGUGGAGGAAAUUUCUGUCACAAGGUUGUCAAAGCAAUGAUUAUGGAAGAGCUUUCAAGGAAUGGAUUGUUCACAACAUCUCAGCUGUCAAAUUUUCCCCUUCUUCUUCGAUGUUUGAGUACUUCCCAGGCAUUGUUUGGGCACAGUCUUCCAUUUUCCUCUGUGGAUGGUGGAUUCAGCAAGGAAUCCUUGCCUGUAGAAGGAUGUCUUCUAACUGUUUCCCAGUUUCAUCGAUGUUUUGUUGACUACUGCAUAAGACUAAGGCUUAUUAACCUUUUGUACCACUACAUAGACUUUUAUGGACUCUGUGAAUCUAAGGAGAAUGUUAGAGAACUCAACUUGGAAUCAAGUAGACCACACUGGGUUGACAUGCUUAUAAAAUGCCGUCUCUUGGGGCUCAAUUCUCAAGAUCCCUGUUCUGUUUUGCAAGCCAGUCUUGCCAUUGCUGGGUUUAUUUUAAGAGUAGAAUCGCCUUCCAUCAUGACCACUCUGAAAGCUGGACAUCCAGAAUUGGCUAUAAGCAGUCUUUUGUAUGGGCCAAACACACUGAGUCAGGCCAUCGUGUCAUCAGAAUCACAGUCAAACAUUUCAGUGUGGCAAGUAGAAGAAAAAGUUCUUCAUGAUUCCCUUUUGAGUUUUCCCAAAGUACAUUCAGCUGUAUUCCCUGUUUCAUCUGGUAGCCUUGGCAUUGAAUGUCAGGAUGUGUCAGUUUACAGACUUUUACAGGGGAAUUCACCAUUUGAAAUAUCGCGACUUUUCGGUUGGCAGCCAACGAAUGACCUUGCCCCAAAGGGAGAUACCUCGUAUGAUAUGCAGCAUUUCUCUUGUGACUCUUUAGUUUUUCAACAUGCCCAUAGAGAACGUCUGACGUUCUCAUAUUACCUUCGUCAUGGUAGACCCUCUUUUGCGUUCGUAGCUUUUAUUGGAGAGAAACUUAAAGAUGUUAACGUGUCUAAAGCUAGCAUCCAGAAAGCAGCACUGAAAGCUUACAGAGUUGCUAUACAAAAUCUAACGAAUCCUUCGAUAUGCGCUGCAUGUGUGGUCUUCACUGAGAUGCUAGGAAUGGAUAGCAUGACCCUGAGGGUGGAUAUACAGGCUGCUAGUAGACUAUUAGCUCAUGGAGGAUCUCAUGAAGAUCUCUUUGGAGAUAAUGCCAUGAGAGAGAAUUCGAUGGCAGAUGCAAUUGCAUCAGAACUUUUGUCAUGUUCUGGAAAAGGCAGUGAAAAGCCUUUACGACUUUUAGUUGCUUUGAAAACGGCUACAAGAAAUAUCAUCAGUAAGGAUUGUUUGGACAAGACAUCAUUUGAAGCAGGCCAGCUGUGGAGUCUUGUGGUCCUAUUCUGUCGAGUUCACAAGAUGGAAUUUCCAGUGGCAUACUUACAGGAUUGUGCAGUUGCAGAAAAGUGGCUGCCAUUUAUUUGCCAUGCACAAGCUUGUCAAGUUCCAAAAGAGCAGGUGAUCUAUGUCAUUGAGCACAACUUCUCUAACUCUUACAUCCAAGAACAUUUGCUUUUGGCCUUUGAAAAUGUCAAGUUGAUUAAUGUAGAGAAUGUCUCAAGCAGUGAACUUGGCAAGAGGCGACCCCGGAAAAGAAAGUUGGUCAGGACAGGAGAACAGGUCAUGGCACCAUCUCGAGAUGUGCGUGCUCAGUUCUACUCUCGCAUGGGUCUCAGAGCAACAACAGCUGCACAACCUGAAACUGUCAAGGAGGAACAAGUGGUGCAUCCAUCAUGCAGCAGUAGUGCGGAAGAUGAGGAAAGCAGUAGAAUAUCGAGAAAAGGCGAUGAAAAGAAAUUGGAGAACAAGAAAAUAGAACAUCACGCGGAUGAUACAUUUGAUGCUGGGUUUUCAGAAAAGCUCCUCGAUGCCGAUGAAGUACGACAUAAUCUUUUUGACAUCCUGUUCAAAUGCCAAUCAGCAGAAGUUCCAUGGAGGAGCUUACUAGCCUAUUCAAUAACGCUUCAAAGGUCUCUGCUAUCCGUGCUUGCAACAUGCUUUCAGGAUUCCAGGCCACUUGAUUGCCUUUGCGCCUGGCUCUGCUCAACUGUGUGCCCAUCUGUCUUGAAACCUGCUGUAGCGUCUAUCCCAGGCAGUCGUCGGCGAGGCUCCUCGGAUGUACAAAAACUUCAGUGGCAUGACUGGACCCUGGGAGACCUUACAGCUCUCAUUUUAGCAAUUGUUGAAACGAGAGAGACACUUGCUCACACCCUGGCCAAGGCAUUUUACAUCUUUGAUCCGGCCAGUCCUCUUCUAAACUUUUUUCGUUUUCACGAGACCUUUUUGGUGCUCCGUGACUAUGAAACUUGUCAAGGAUAUUUGACUUCUUUCAAGAACACUUACCGCAAGUUAUCAUUGAAAGCCAUUGCCGACAAACACGAGGCUGCACUCAAGAUUGGAAGUUUGAAAUGGCUGGAAGAACUGACUUGUCAAGUCACGAAGCAUAUGCUCUCACGCUGUGACAAUGCCCACCAACAGGGCCAUUUACUUGCAAUUCUAGCAGCAAGCAAGUUUGGACGAAACUUUGAGUGUAAAGUACCCGCUUAUUGUGAGCUCCACGAAGUGAGUAAACUUCUUCACGGCACAAAUACGAACAUACGACUUGAGGUAAUGGUGGAGCAGGGAGAUGAAGCUGACAGCCAAGCUGAGAAGGAAAGAGUGCUUGACUCCCUGCUCAACACUAAACAGUUUGCAAAGGCCAGAAGGUAUGCUGAAUUGAUGGGCUUGUCGAAUGAUCACAUUACAAUCAAACAGGUUGAUGCUGACUUAGAAAUUGCCAAGAAUUCCAUGUUGUGGGAAAUAGAGCAGGGAAGACUGGCUUUCUGGCACAGAGCAGAAAAGUGCUUCAAAGACAAUGGUUGUAAGGCAGACACUGCAGGCUCAUUCUUUGAGAACCAAGCUAGCGAUACUGAAUUGUCAUUUAGUGAACGCGCUAUGCUUGUUGGGAUAGCUGUGAAGUGGUUUUCAAAUCCCUCCUCUAACCAGCAACCAAGACCAUUGGUGGAGCUGGAAGAUCUUCAAAAGAAACGCUGGCUGUAUAAGAUACGAGCAGAGAUUGAGAAAGAGGGCAGUUUAACCAGAUCUGUUAGCCAUCUAGAAUUUCUUUCGCACGAAAUGGAACUGGAAUUAUCAAGCGAAGUCAAAACAAACAGCAAAGUUUUGAUUCCUCUCAAAGCUGUUGAUUUGAAAGAACUAAUACAAGAGGAUACUGCUGAAGGACAACUUCACGGUGAAUGUCCACUGGAAACCGACAAGGAAAUCCGAGCGUUGGAAAAUAUCAUCGGUUGCCUGUUGGAACAUUGUCAUGUGAGCCAGGCGCAAUGGCUUGCAAGUUUAUUCAAUCACAGUUGUUUAGCAUUAGACGUGGUCAUGUCUUGCAUUCACUUGGCUCAAGGAACACGUUCCAUGGACACCUUAGAUGUCCAUGUAAAAAGCCUUCUCACCAGAAAUGCUCAGAGACGUGAAAGCCUUGGAAGAGCUAGCCCAUUCACCCGGUCUGGUAGUUUUAUUUUCUCAUCGUCUUUCACGGAAAAGACUCCAAACGAGCGUCACGACUCCGUUUCUUCAUCUGAUUGGGUCAAAGUUGAAGAUAUCAUCACUACCAUGGAAAGCCUGGCUUUUCACAGUAAGCAGGGAAAGAGGUGUUGUUCCUGUGUCAUCACCUGCUACAAAGUUGCACAGACACUAGGGCAAGAUUACGAGGAAAUUGUGAAAAAGAAGCCCCUGAAGGUGCUCCAUUCGUUGUUACUUUCUGGAUUUGACAGCCGCUAUAAAAUGAUGGAGGGUUAUAUUAAAGCCGUUCAACUUGAUUCUGUAGAGGUAACUGAAUUUUUGGCCAGUAUCAUCUUGAACUCUCUCAUCGUUCACUGCACUGGUGAAGACAUUUCAGGGAAAGAAUACAGUGACUUAACCGUAAAUGCAGCACCGUCUUGUGAAGACAUAAGUCACAUGAUUCGCUUGUGUCCCGACUAUUCCGUGCUGGGCACUCGACUCUUAGAUGAGGUUACAACCUUAAUCAACGAACAUGCACCAGAAACCAUCCGUACUGGAGCACUGAGCUUGAAAGUGGAAUUACUGGUUCGCGCCCAUCAAUGUCACACUUUAGCCUGUAACAUGGAGGGUAUUGCAGCAGUUCUGCGACAUGGACGAGUACUAACAACUGCUUUGACUGAAUCCAGAGAUUACAUGCUCAUGGUUCGUUUGCUCACGGGUAUCGGAAGGUUCAAUGAGAUGUCUUACAUCAUUGACACACUCUUUGAGCAUGAGCACUUUGAACUUCUAUGUCGGAAAGGAAUUGACAAGGAAAAUAAGCUGAAAGUUGCACUUCUUGAUUACUUAAGAAAACAACAUCCGGAGGAUACAGAUAAGUUUUCUCUGGUGGCGCAUCACUUUCGCAUGUACCGUGAAAUUGCUCAGACUUUGGAGGACACCGCCGUCAAACAACUGGCUAGUUUAGGAAAUUGUUUCCCAGGUAAGAAACACGGUCAGGGAAAUGCUGAGAAAGGAGAACUGCUGGCGACAUUCACAGACCUGUCUUAAGAAUGCAAGAUUGGUUCACCUACAGAUCCAGUUUCUUUCCUCUGGAGUCACAGUAGUAAAUUUGAACGAUGUUGCUUUAAAGAAAUUCCUCGCCCAUCACACCCAUUUUUUUCAGUCUCUUCUAGUCGCUGAUGCGUAUAAAAAGCGUGACAUUUCCUUGUGGGUUGAUGCUAUUUAUAAUCAAGUAGUGAUGAAAGGCAACUUCAAUUACCUUCAAGACAUGAGCUCCGCUAUGCCUCUCGCCAACAGUCUUUUUG
rnacentral:misc_RNA from 1 species